UUGGUUUUGUUUUCCACAGCCAGUAUCUGCGAGAAGAAAGCCAUGAGAAAAGAAACCUGGAGCUGGCUUCUUCAGAGUGGACUCUUCGCAGCAUGGAGUCCCAUGAGAUCCCUCAGCAAUCCAACGGAAGUGACUGUGGGGUGUUCAUGUGCAAGUAUGCGGAGUACAUCUCCAGGGACAGAGCCACCACCUUCACCCAGAAGCACAUGCCUUACUUCCGCAAGAGGAUGGUGUGGGAAAUAAUCCACCAGCAGCUGCUGUGAGCCGUGCACUGUUAGAGUAACACUGUGAUCCCCCGGGGUGACUAACUCCUGCUGUAGUUACUGUGCCAGGACCUGGGCUUGAGGAGGCAGCAGGCACACAGGUCUUCCUCCUUAGGCUAGGAAGCAGCGGUUAAGUUUGGGGGUUUAUUUUCCUGACUUUGGAGGCAGUCACUCCCUCUGAAAUGAAGUCCUGCACCUUAAGUGCAA